rnacentral:rRNA from 1 species
AGCUCCAAUAGCGUAUAUUAAAGUUGUUGCAGUUAAAAAGCUCGUAGUUGAAUUUCUGUCAUACUCUGACCGUUGGCGCGAUAUGUGUUUGAUGGUCAGGGUUGAUACCAUUUCGGGCGCGCAGCUCUUAACUGGGUUGCGUGAUCUCGGACAGUUACUUUGAGAAAAUUAGAGUGUUUCAAGCAGGCUCACGCCUUGAAUACUACAGCAUGGAAUAAUAAGAUAGGACUUUGGUUCUUUCUUGUUGGUUCGGAGAGCUAAGGUAAUGAUUAACAGGGACAGUCGGGGGCAUUCGUAUUUAACUGUCAGAGGUGAAAUUCUUAGAUUUGUUAAAGACGAACUACUGCGAAAGCAUUUGCCAAGGAUGUUCCCA